rnacentral:piRNA from 2 species
UAACAUAAAUGCUAAUGGUUACUUCUGGG